UAUCGACUGACCUAGCAGACUAAGCCAAGACGAUAGACUUAUUAAGGAGACUUAAUUAUG
rnacentral:ncRNA from 1 species